UACGGGGGGCAAGCGUUGUUCGGAAUUACUGGGCGUAAAGGGCUCGUAGGUGGCCAACUAAGUCAGACGUGAAAUCCCUCGGCUUAACCGGGGAACUGCGUCUGAUACUGGAUGGCUAGAGGUUGGGAGAGGGAUGCGGAAUUCCAGGUGUAGCGGUGAAAUGCGUAGAGAUGUGGAGGAACACCGAUGGCGAAGGCAGCCUCCUGGGCCAGCACUGACGCUCAUGCACGAAAGCGUGGGGAGCAAACAGG
rnacentral:rRNA from 1 species